GAGGGCUCCUUUCCCCGAUCCUGCUCCCUGAGCUGAGUUGUGUCUGAAAAAAGCAGAACUGAUGUAAGAGAAAUAGAAAACAUUUUAUCUUUAGGGUUGGCAAGGUCUUUCUAUGUCACAGGCUGGCCCCUGAGGUCUCACAGGGCCCAGGGCACAAACUUCAGGACGAGAGCAGCUCAAAUGCAGCGGCCCACGCCCCUCUCCUCCCUGUGCUCAGCCUUCUCUGGGAUCCGAGCUCUCCGUCCAGGCUGGCGCUGACGUCAGACACGUUCUGG
rnacentral:lncRNA from 1 species